rnacentral:rRNA from 1 species
GUGGGGAAUCUUGCGCAAUGGGCGAAAGCCUGACGCAGCCAUGCCGCGUGAAUGAUGAAGGUCUUAGGAUUGUAAAAUUCUUUCACCGGGGACGAUAAUGACGGUACCCGGAGAAGAAGCUCCGGCUAACUUCGUGACAGCAGCCGCGGUAAUACGAAGGGGGCUAGCGUUGCUCGGAAUUACCGGGCGUAAAGGGCGCGUAGGCGGACAGCUUAGUCAGAGGUGAAAGCCCAGGGCUCAACCUUGGAAUUGCCUUUGAUACUGGCUGUCUUGAGUGUGGGAGAGGUGAGUGGAACUCCGAGUGUAGAGGUGAAAUUCGUAGAUAUUCGGAAGAACACCAGUGGCGAAGGCGACUCACUGGCCCAAUACUGACGCUGAGGCGCGAAAGCGUGGGGAGCAAACAGGAUUAGAUACCCUGGUAGUCC